AGAACUCCCAUGCAGAGUUGCUCCCCAAUGGCAAGGCGACGACGCAUUCGUAUGUCAAUCCAUAUCAACUUUCUAUGCCAUUUACUGUGCCUACCAUGGUUACCACGGGUAAUGUGGAAUCAGGGUUCGAUUCCAUACAGGGACCCUAACAAACGACUAUCACAUGCAAGGAAGACAGCAGGUGCGCAAAUGACCCACUCCAGAUGCAGGGAGGUGGU